AAUGGCUCAUUAAAUCAGUUAUCGUUUAUUUGAUAGUACCUUACUACUUGGAUAACCGUGGUAAUUCUAGAGCUAAUACAUGCUAAAAACCCCGACUUCGGAAGGGGUGUAUUUAUUAGAUAAAAAACCAAUGCCCUUCGGGGCUCCUUGGUGAUUCAUAAUAACUUAACGAAUCGCAUGGCCUUGUGCCGGCGAUGGUUCAUUCAAAUUCUGCCCUAUCAACUUUCGAUGGUAGGAUAGUGGCCUACCAUGGUUUCAACGGGUAACGGGGA
rnacentral:rRNA from 1 species